AACGAACGCUGGCGGCAUGCCUAACACAUGCAAGUCGAACGAGACCUUCGGGUCUAGUUGCGCACGGGUGCGUAACGCGUGGGAACCUGCCCUUAGGAUCGGAAUAACUCCCCGAAAGGGGUGCUAAUACCGGAUAAUGUCUUCGGACCAAAGAUUUAUCGCCUUUGGAUGUGCCGGCGUUGGAUUAGCUAGUUGGUAGGGUAAAAGCCUACCAAGGCGCCGAUGGGUAGCUGGUCUGAGAGGGUGGACGGCCACACUGGGACUGAGAAACGGCCCAGACUGCUAGGGGAGGCAGCAGUGGGGAAGAGGGGACAAGGGGCGGAAGCCUGAUGAAGCGACGCCGCGUGGGGGAUGACGGCAUUCGGGUGGUAAACUCCUUUCGAACGCGAGGAAGCCACCUGGGUGGAAGGGUGGUGACGGUAGUGGUAGAAGAAGCAACGGCUAACUACGUG
rnacentral:rRNA from 1 species